GACGGAGGGGGCUAGCGUUGUUCGGAAUUACUGGGCGUAAAGCGUGCGCAGGCGGUUUUGUAAGUCUGUCGUGAAAGCCCCGGGCUCAACCUGGGAAUUGCGAUGGAGACUGCAAGGCUUGAAUCUGGCAGAGGGGGGUAGAAUUCCACGUGUAGCAGCGAAAUGCGUAGAGAUGUGGAGGAACACCGAUGGCGAAGGCAGCCCCCUGGGUCAAGAUUGACGCUCAUGCACGAAAGCGUGGGGAGCAAACAGG
rnacentral:rRNA from 1 species